rnacentral:rRNA from 1 species
GACGAACGCUGGCGGCGUGCUUAACACAUGCAAGUCGAACGGAAAGGCCCUGCUUUUGUGGGGUGCUCGAGUGGCGAACGGGUGAGUAACACGUGAGUAACCUGCCCUUGACUUUGGGAUAACUUCAGGAAACUGGGGCUCAUACCGGAUAGGAGCUCCUGCUGCAUGGUGGGGGUUGGAAAGUUUCGGCGGUUGGGGAUGGACUCGCGGCUUAUCAGCUUGUUGGUGGGGUAGUGGCUUACCAAGGCUUUGACGGGUAGCCGGCCUGAGAGGGUGACCGGCCACAUUGGGACUGAGAGACGGCCCAGACUCCUACGGGAGGCAGCAGUGGGGAAUAUUGCACAAUGGGCGGAAGCCUGAUGCAGCAACGCCGCGUGCGGGAUGACGGCCUUCGGGUUGUAAACCGCUGUCGCCUGUGACGAAGCGUGAGUGACGGUAAUGAGUAAAGAAGCACCGGCUAACUACGUG